GAUGAAGAACGUAGCGAAAUGCGAUAAGUAAUGUGAAUUGCAGAAUUCAGUGAAUCAUCGAAUCUUUGAACGCACAUUGCGCCCGCCAGUAUUCUGGCGGGCAUGCCUGUUCGAGCGUCAUUACAACCCUCAGGCCCCCGGGCCUGGCGUUGGGGAUCGGCGGAAGCCCCCUGCGGGCACAACGCCGUCCCCCAAAUACAGUGGCGGUCCCGCCGCAGCUUCCAUUGCGUAGUAGCUAACACCUCGCAACUGGAGAGCGGCGCGGCCACGCCGUAAAACACCCAACUUCUGAAUGUUGACCUCGAAUCAGGUAGGAAUACCCGCUGAACUUAAGCAUAUCAUAACGGAGGA
rnacentral:misc_RNA from 1 species